rnacentral:rRNA from 1 species
CCUACGGGAGGCAGCAGUGAGGAAUAUUGGACAAUGGGCGCAAGCCUGAUCCAGCCAUGCCGCGUGCAGGAAGAAGCAUCUAUGGUGUGUAAACUGCUUUUGUACAGGAAGAAACACUCCCUCGUGAGGGAGCUUGACGGUACUGUAAGAAUAAGGACCGGCUAACUCCGUGCCAGCAGCCGCGGUAAUACGGAGGGUCCGAGCGUUAUCCGGAAUCAUUGGGUUUAAAGGGUCCGUAGGCGGUUUAAUAAGUCAGUGGUGAAAUCUGGUCGCUCAACGAUCAAACGGCCAUUGAUACUGUUAGACUUGAAUUAUAAGGAAGUAACUAGAAUAUGUAGUGUAGCGGUGAAAUGCUUAGAUAUUACAUGGAAUACCAAUUGCGAAGGCAGGUUACUACUUAUGGAUUGACGCUGAUGGACGAAAGCGUGGGGAGCGAACAGGAUUAGAUACCCUGGUAGUCCACGCCGUAAACGAUGGAUACUAGCUGUUCGGAGCAAUCUGAGUGGCUAAGCGAAAGUGAUAAGUAUCCCACCUGGGGAGUACGUUCGCAAGAAUGAAACUCAAAGGAAUUGACG